rnacentral:ncRNA from 1 species
ACAGCAGGACGGUGAUCAUGGAAGUCGAAAUCCGCUAAGGAGUGUGUAACAACUCACCUGCCGAAGCAACUAGCCCUUAAAAUGGAUGGCGCUUAAGUUGUAUACCUAUUCAUUACCGCUAAAGUAGAUGAUUUAUAUUACUUGUGAUAUAAAUUUUGAAACUUUAGUGAGUAGGAAGGUACAAUGGUAUGCGUAGAAGUGUUUGGCGUAAGCCUUCAUGGAGCUGCCAUUGGCACAGAUCUUGGUGGUAGUAGCAAAUAAUCGAAUGAGACCUUGGAGGACUGAAGUGGAGAAGGGUUUCGUGUGAACAGUGGUUGAUCACGAGUUAGUCGGUCCUAAGUUCAAGGCGAAAUCCGAAAAUUUUCAAGUAAAAAAUCAGUGAGUAAUAUUGUCAAAUCUUUUAUGAUUUUUAAAUACUUGAAUAAUUUUGAACGAAAGGGAAUACGGUUCCAAUUUCGUAACCUGUUGAGUAUCCGUUUGUUAUUAAAUAUGGGCCUCGUGCUCAUCCUGGCAACAGGAACGACCAUAAAGAAGCCGUCGAGAGGUAUCGGAAGAGUUUUCUUUUCUGUUUUAUAGCCGUACUACCAUGGAAGUCUUUCGCAAAGAGAUAUGGUAGAUGGGCUAGAAGAGCAUGACAUAUACUGUUGUGUCGAUAUUUUCUCCUCGGACCUUGAAAAUUUAUGGUGGGGACACGCAAACUUCUCAACAGGCCGUACCAAUAUCCGCAGCUGGUCUCCAAGGUGAAGAGUCUCUAGUCGAUAGAAUAAUGUAGGUAAGGGAAGUCGGCAAAUUAGAUCCGUAACUUCGGGAUAAGGAUUGGCUCUGAAGAUUGAGAUAGUCGGGCGUGAUUGGGAAACAAUAACAUGGCUUAUGUGCUCGUUCUGGGUAAAUAGAGUUUCUAUCAUUUAUGGUAGUUACUUGUUCCCCGGAUAGUUUAGUUACGUAGCCAAUUGUGGAACUUUCUUGCUAAAAUUUUUAAGAAUACUAAUUGGGGUAAACCAGUUAGUUCUUAUUAAUUAUAACGAUUAUCAAUUAACAAUCAAUUCAGAACUGGCACGGACUUGGGGAAUCCGACUGUCUAAUUAAAACAAAGCAUUGUGAUGGCCCUAGCGGGUGUUGACACAAUGUGAUUUCUGCCCAGUGCUCUGAAUGUCAAAGUGAAGAAAUUCAAGUAAGCGCGGGUCAACGGCGGGAGUAACUAUGCCUCUCUUAAGGUAGCCAAAUGCCUCGUCAUCUAAUUAGUGACGCGCAUGAAUGGAUUAACGAGAUUCCUACUGUCCCUAUCUACUCGAAUUGCUUUUUGACUGCCAUUCGAAGCAGACGU